GACAGAGGGUGCAAACGUUGUUCGGAAUUACUGGGCGUAAAGCGCGUGUAGGCGGCCAUCUAAGUCGGGCGUGAAAUCCCACGGCUCAACCGUGGAAGUGCACUCGAAACUGGAUGGCUAGAGUCCUGGAGAGGAAGGUGGAAUGCUUGGUGUAGAGGUGAAAUUCGUAGAUAUCAAGCGGAACACCGGUGGCGAAGGCGGCCUUACUGGACAGUGACUGACGCUGAGACGCGAAAAGC
rnacentral:rRNA from 1 species